GGAAUAUUGCUCAAUGGGCGAAAGCCUGAAGCAGCAACGCCGCGUGUGCGAUGAAGGCCUUCGGGUCGUAAAGCACUUUUCUACGAGAUGAGAAAGGACAGUAUCGUAGGAAUAAGUCUCGGCUAACUACGUGCCAGCAGCCGCGGUAAAACGUAGGAGGCGAGCGUUAUCCGGAUUCACUGGGCGUAAAGCGCGUGCAGGCGGUUCGGUAAGUUGGGCGUGAAAUCUCUUGGCUUAACUAGGAGAGGUC
rnacentral:rRNA from 1 species